rnacentral:rRNA from 1 species
CCCUUAGAUGUCCUGGGCCGCACGCGCGUUACACUGAUGCAUUCAACGAGCUUAUAACCUUGGCCGAGAGGCCCGGGCAAUCUUGUUAACGUGCAUCGUGAUAGGGAUAGAUUAUUGAAAUUAUUAAUCUUGAACGAGGAAUUCCCAGUAAACGCAGAUCAUCAAUCUGCAUUGAUUACGUCCCUGCCCUUUGUACACACCGCCCGUCGCACCUACCGAUUGGAUGGUCCGGUGAAGCCUCGGGAUUGUGGUUCUUGCCGCUUUAUUGUGGCGUGACCGCGAGAACUUGUCUAAACCUUAUCAUCUAGAGGAAGGUGAAGUCGUAACA